UACGGGGGGGGCAAGCGUUGUUCGGAAUUACUGGGCGUAAAGGGCUCGUAGGCGGCCAACUAAGUCAGAUGUGAAAUCCCUCGGCUUAACCGGGGAACUGCGUCUGAUACUGGAGGGCUUGAAUUCGGGAGAGGGAUGCAGAAUUCCAGGUGUAGCGGUGAAAUGCGUAGAUAUCUGGAGGAAUACCGGUGGCGAAGGCGGCAUCCUGGACCGAGAUUGACGCUGAGGAGCGAAAGCUAGGGGAGCAAACGGG
rnacentral:rRNA from 1 species